GAUGAAUGCUGGCGGUGUGCCUUAAGCAUGCAAGUCGAACGGGUCCGCAAGGACAAGUGGCAAACGGGUGAGUAAUACGUAGGAACUUACCUUCAAGUGGGGAAUAGCUGUCCGAAAGGACAGGUAAUGCCGCAUAUGGCCGCAAGGUCAAAGUCGCAAGACGCUUGGAGAGAGGCCUGCGCCCUAUCAGGUAGUUGGUGAGGUAAUGGCUCACCAAGCCAAUGACGGGUAGCCGAUGUGAGAGCAUGAUCGGCCACAAGGUAACUGAGACACGGUGCCUACACCUACGGGAGGCUG
rnacentral:rRNA from 1 species